rnacentral:siRNA from 1 species
CCUAAACACUAAACCCUAAACCC